CGUAGGGCGCAAGCGUUGUCCGGAAUUAUUGGGCGUAAAGAGCUCGUAGGUGGCGUGUCGCGUCUGCCGUGAAAGCCCAUGGCUUAACUGUGGGUCUGCGGUGGAUACGGGCAGGCUGGAGGCUGGUAGGGGCAAGCGGAAUUCCUGGUGUAGCGGUGAAAUGCGCAGAUAUCAGGAGGAACACCGGUGGCGAAGGCGGCUUGCUGGGCCAGUUCUGACGCUGAGGAGCGAAAGCGUGGGGAGCGAACAGGAUUAGAUACCCUGGUAGUCCACGCUGUAAACGUUGGGCGCUAGGUGUUGGGUCCUUCCACGGGCUCGGUGCCGUAGCUAACGCAUUAAGCGCCCCGCCUGGGGGGUACGGCCGCAAGGCUA
rnacentral:rRNA from 1 species